rnacentral:rRNA from 1 species
UACGGAGGGUGCGAGCGUUGUCCGGAAUCACUGGGCGUAAAGGGCGCGUAGGCGGCUCGUGAAGUCAGUGGUGAAAGCCCCGGGCUCAACCUGGGAAUGGCAUUUGAUACUCUGAGGCUGGAGUACGGGAGAGGAGAGUGGAAUUCCCAGUGUAGAGGUGAAAUUCGUAGAUAUUGGGAAGAACACCGGUGGCGAAGGCGGCUCUCUGGACCGUAACUGACGCUGAGGCGCGAAAGCGUGGGGAGCAAACAGG